CUUGCUGCACCCUUGUCUUUUGCGUACCGUAUGUUUCCUCGGCGGGCUUGCCYGCCGGUUGGACAUUAUCAAACCUUUUUGUAGUUGCAAUCAGCGUCAGAAAACAAACAAUAAUUACAACUUUCAACAACGGAUCUCUUGGUUCUGGCAUCGAUGAAGAACGCAGCGAAAUGCGAAAAGUAGUGUGAAUUGCAGAAUUCAGUGAAUCAUCGAAUCUUUGAACGCACAUUGCGCCCCUUGGUAUUCCAUGGGGCAUGCCUGUUCGAGCGUCAUUUUGUACCCUCAAGCACUGCUUGGUGUUGGGCGUUUGUCCUGCAAAGGACUCGCCUGAAAGCGAUUGGCGGCCAACGUACUGGUGGUAGAGCGCAGCACAAUUUGCGUCUCUCCCUUCUACGUCGGCGUCCAUGAAGCCUUUUUUCAACGUUUGACCUCGGAUCAGGUAGGGAUACCCGCUGAACUUAAGCAUAUCAAUA
rnacentral:rRNA from 1 species